rnacentral:rRNA from 1 species
GACGAACGCUGGCGGCGUGCCUAAUACAUGCAAGUUGAGCGCUGAAGGUUGGUACUUGUACCAACUGGAUGAGCAGCGAACGGGUGAGUAACGCGUGGGGAAUCUGCCUUUGAGCGGGGGACAACAUUUGGAAACGAAUGCUAAUACCGCAUAAAAACUUUAAACACAAGUUUUAAGUUUGAAAGAUGCAAUUGCAUCACUCAAAGAUGAUCCCGCGUUGUAUUAGCUAGUUGGUGAGGUAAAGGCUCACCAAGGCGAUGAUACAUAGCCGACCUGAGAGGGUGAUCGGCCGCAUUGGGACUGAGACACGGCCCAAACUCCUACGGGAGGCAGCAGUAGGGAAUCUUCGGCAAUGGACGAAAGUCUGACCGAGCAACGCCGCGUGAGUGAAGAAGGUUUUCGGAUCGUAAAACUCUGUUGGUAGAGAAGGACGUUGGUGAGAGUGGAAAGCUCAUCAAGUGACGGUAACUACCCAGAAAGGGACGGCUAACUACGUG